GACGUAAGGGGCCAGCGUUGUCCGGAAUUACUGGGCGUAAAGCGCACGUAGGCGGCUUGAUCAGCGGCGGGUGAAAGCCCACGGCUCAACUGUGGAAAUGCUUGCCGAACUGUCAGGCUAGAGUGCGGGAGAGGGCAGUGGAAUUCCUGGUGUAGCGGUGAAAUGCGUCAAUAUCAGGAAGAACACCAGUGGCGAAGGCUGCUGCCUGGAACGCAACUGACGCUGAGGUGCGAAAGCUAGGGUAG
rnacentral:rRNA from 1 species